CUGAUCCCAGCUUGGCCGGCCAUGGAUACCUCUAUUCAUGGUGUUUUGAGUUCAAAUAUAAUUAUGAUAAAAUUUUAGAUACAUAAAAACAUGGACACCUCUAUGCCUCGUGGUCCGGAAAACAUGCCCAUAAAAACAACAUACUAACCUCUAAAGAAUGUUGGAUCCAAUCGGUUAAGGUAUCCUAUCCCAUUGAAUUUCGAAUUUCCAGCCAAGUGGGUGACUCUUUAUUCUGUCUCGAUUAUGGAUUGAAUAUAUACGGAUUAUCAUCCUCCAUUUUUCACCUUUUCUUCUAUGACUUUCUUUUUGUCGUUUUUCAUGUUCCAAAGGUGUUUUGCUUAGAGUAAAAAAAUAUUAGAAGAAAAGAAAAAUUGAAAGAAUAAAAAAUUAAAAAUAUAUAAUUUUUUCUUUUCUUCGGUGGACUUGGUAGGAAGGAUGAAAAUUUUAAAAAAAGAAAUAAUUUUCUUUCUAUCCAUUGUUUAGUAG
rnacentral:lncRNA from 1 species